UUGGCACUCUUGGCUGUGUAAUAAAUGUCAUACAGCCUCUUAGAAAGGGCACCUAGGAUUCUAUGGAUGUAAUGAUAGUCUAUUUCAUCAAGUGUCCUAGGGGGUGUGCUGGUGGAGGCGGAAGUUCGGUGUGGGAGGAGGAUGAAUUUCGGUUUGAGUUUUGGCGGGUAGCAUAUCGUAAAGUAGUUAGGUUGGACCCGUUAUCAACUUCAGUGGUGCUCUCACCUAUGGCUGAGAUCAACCCUAAUGUGGUGAGCUACAACCACAUUUGGUUCUGCCAUCUUCUAAAGUUAUGGCUAUCAAAUUUUUCAGGUUUGGCACUAAGGUGGUCACUAGUGUUUGAGGCCAUAGGUUCAAAGUUAUAGAGAAGGGAUAGAAACCUGAAUGAAGGCAAAAGUCCACGUCAAAAUAUUGCACUAAAAUUAAUAUUGAAUUUUGAAUGUCUAGUUGAUAUAUCCAAAAAAUAAUAGCCAGAUCAGCUCCAAAUCGGUGGUGGAGCACUAGGCUCACUUAAGUACCAGCCUUUCUUAGGCAUGUAUGCCUUUUUCACAAGCUUUUCUUUGACACUAUUAGUUAGUGGAUAUAAUUACUAGAAAUCACACAAAUUCAAUUUUUACAAAAGCCUAAGUGCAAAUUUAAAUUUGUUGUUAUGAAUUAACCAAUUUUCAAUUUUUUCGUUUGAAUUUUUUCGAAUUAGUAAUAAUUGAUUAUUAAUUUUGUGCUAGUAGAUCAAAUAUUGUAAUUGAGAUCUAAAAUGUCAAUUCAACGAAUUAUAAGAUUUAUUAUCUUAUUAGAAUAAUUGAUUACUAAUUUUGUGCUAAUAAAUCAAUUAUUUUAAUUGAGAACUAAAAUGUCAAUUCAAUGAAUUAUGAGAUUUAUUACCUUAUUAGAAUAAUUGAUUACCAAUUUUGUGCUAGCAAAUCAAUUAUUGUAAUUGAGAUCUAAAAUAUCAAUUCAAUGAAUUA
rnacentral:lncRNA from 1 species